AGCUCUCUGUCCGCCACCAAGCUCCUCUCUCCUUCCACACCCUCCAAGAAAAGUGACUUGACAAUAAGGCGGUCCCGCUCCCCAGCUCUCUCCUCCGCGUCAGUCCGAGCGGGCGCUGCCGCGGAGAGGGGCGCGUCUCCCCAGCCUGGAGAGCGAACCCGCGGGAGCGGAGACCUUCCUUUGUGCCUUCCCUUGGCCGUGAACUUUCCCGCUCGAGUUAAUUGCCCUGCAGCGAGGCCAUCUGACACCUCAGCCAAGGAAUACAGCAGAGAAGGAAUCCUCCACAGGGGGACCACAUCACCUGGGUCUGAGAGGACUGCUUCCUCAGGAAACCUUUCCUGGGAAUCUGGUGAGAGUUGGAGGCAAGUUUCCUGCACUUAGAACUUGUUCGGAAAUUGACAUCUAAAGAGGAGAGAAGCACUUUGUCACCCAGACUGGGCCCCUACGGCAUCAGAAAACCUUUCCACUCUUGGUGAACCCCUGAGACUGCCCCCCCACCCAAGAGGCCCCUUCACAUUGUUCGAUGUCAGUGUCCUGCUUGCUUUCCUUGGAAAGGUCAUGGGGACUCAGACACCCGCCAACCCCACGGGCUCCGGCUUCUCCAGCGCUCUCCCUUUCGCCCAGCAGGGAGGCUUGUGGAGCGCUUCUGGGUCUGCAUUGCCAGACCAGACUGCAGCCCAUGACCUUCCCGGGGCCAACCAAGGGCGAGGUAUGUUGCCCAACAAGACCACAGCCUCACCGGGCCGCCCAGGAACAACCACCGACAAAGGCUCUGCGGGCCCUGGCGCAGCCACCCACCCAUGCCCGCGGGGCCUGCAGGAGUGCUGGGGCCGAGGCUGCAAAGCUGGGUAGCCAGCCCCACACCAUUGACAGCCCAGGCACGUUUGCGGAACCCAGGGGAACAAUCAACGGACUCUAUGUCCCGGGAGCUGGGGAUACGCCUGUAAGAGUGUGAUGUUCCAGCCCAACUCAAUGGGCUUGCCUUCUCCUGAGAGGCAGUCCUGGAGGACAGAACUAAUGUGCCAUCUCCCAGGAAGCUCUUCAUCAGAAUAUCCCUUGUCCUUUUGUUUUUGUGUUAAAAAAGUGUUUUUACUUUCUCUGAGUGUCUGUCCUGUUAUUUUGUAACUACAACAAUGAAAUGUGGACGACAGUUGAUAUAAUUCUUGUGGUCCUUUGUAAACAUGCUUCAUAUUGGGGCCUCACACAGUCCCAGCCAUACCUCAGGUGUGUCCUGUGCUCUUGACAUUCACUCACGACUCAGGAGUCACCCAGAGAUUAACACUUCCUUCUGCCUUCCUCUGGACAGCUCUCUCCCAAACAAUGCUCCUUUCCCAACUCAUAGGGGAAGGGGAUUCAGUUAGAGAAAGCUUUCUGAAUUAAAAAAGAUGAGCCUCAGGUUCUCCAGGUAAUUGAUACUGGCUUACACUGGUGGCUAGGAAGCCAUGCCAGCAUCUCCCUAGGUAUAACUCCUCUCAGGA
rnacentral:lncRNA from 1 species